rnacentral:rRNA from 1 species
GACAUAGGUGGCGAACGUUAUCCGGAUUUAUUGGGCGUAAAGGAUGCGUAGAUUGGUGGAAUAAAGUUAUUGAUCUAAGUCGAGCUCAACUUGAUGGAAGUUGAGUAAUACGUGCUCUACUGGAGGACAGGAGAGGUUAACGGAAUGCAACAUAAGUAGGGGUGAAAUCCAUUGAUCUAUGGUAGACCACCAGAAAAGGCGAAGGCAGUUAAACUAUUCGUGUUCCUGACAUUUGAGGCAUGAAAGCGUGGGGAGCAAAACGG